rnacentral:rRNA from 1 species
UACAGAGGUCCCAAGCGUUGUUCGGAUUCACUGGGCGUAACGGGUGCGUAGGCGGUCGGGUAAGUCUGACGUGAAAUCUUCAAGCUCAACUUGGAAACUGCGUCGGAUACUAUUCGGCUAGAGGAAUGGAGGGGCGACUGGAUUACUGGUGUAGCAGUGAAAUGCGUAGAUAUCAAGUGGAACACCAGUGGCGAAGGCGAGUCUCUGGACAUUUCCUGACGCUGAGGCACGAAAGCCAGGGGAGCAAACGGG